AGAGUUUGAUCCUGGCUCAGGACGAACGCUGGCGGCGCGCCUAACACAUGCAAGUCGAACGAGAGAUGAGGAGCUUGCUCUUCAAAUCGAGUGGCGAACGGGUGAGUAACGCGUGAGGAACCUGCCUCAAAGAGGGGGACAACAGUUGGAAACGACUGCUAAUACCGCAUAAGCCCACGGCUCGGCAUCGAGCAGAGGGAAAAGGAGUGAUCCGCUUUGAGAUGGCCUCGCGUCCGAUUAGCUAGUUGGUGAGGUAACGGCCCACCAAGGCGACGAUCGGUAGCCGGACUGAGAGGUUGAACGGCCACAUUGGGACUGAGACACGGCCCAGACUCCUACGGGAGGCAGCAGUGGGGAAUAUUGCACAAUGGGGGAAACCCUGAUGCAGCGACGCCGCGUGGAGGAAGAAGGUCUUCGGAUUGUAAACUCCUGUUGUUGAGGAAGAUAAUGACGGUACUCAACAAGGAAGUGACGGCUAACUACGUGCCAGCAGCCGCGGUAAAACGUAGGUCACAAGCGUUGUCCGGAAUUACUGGGUGUAAAGGGAGCGCAGGCGGGAGAACAAGUUGGAAGUGAAAUCCAUGGGCUCAACCCAUGAACUGCUUUCAAAACUGUUUUUCUUGAGUAGUGCAGAGGUAGGCGGAAUUCCCGGUGUAGCGGUGGAAUGCGUAGAUAUCGGGAGGAACACCAGUGGCGAAGGCGGCCUACUGGGCACCAACUGACGCUGAGGCUCGAAAGUGUGGGUAGCAAACAGGAUUAGAUACCCUGGUAGUCCACACCGUAAACGAUGAUUACUAGGUGUUGGAGGAUUGACCCCUUCAGUGCCGCAGUUAACACAAUAAGUAAUCCACCUGGGGAGUACGACCGCAAGGUUGAAACUCAAAGGAAUUGACGGGGGCCCGCACAAGCAGUGGAGUAUGUGGUUUAAUUCGACGCAACGCGAAGAACCUUACCAAGUCUUGACAUCCUGCGACGCACAUAGAAAUAUGUGUUUCCUUCGGGACGCAGAGACAGGUGGUGCAUGGUUGUCGUCAGCUCGUGUCGUGAGAUGUUGGGUUAAGU
rnacentral:rRNA from 1 species